rnacentral:rRNA from 1 species
AGUAAAUAGAUACCCGGGUAGUCCACGCCGUAAACGAUGAAUACUAGGUGUAGGAGGUAUCGACUCCUUCUGUGCCGCAGUUAAACACAAUAAGUAUUCCGCCUGGGGAGUACGGUCGCAAGAUUAAAACUCAAAGGAAUUGACGGGGGCCCGCACAAGCAGCGGAGCAUGUGGUUUAAAUUCGAAGCAACGCGAAGAACCUUACCUAGACUUGACAUCUUCUGCAUUAAUCGUAAUGGAUGAAAUCCCUUCGGGGACAGAAUGACAGGUGGUGCAUGGUUGUCGUCAGCUCGUGUCGUGAGAUGUUGGGUUAAGUCCCGCAACGAGCGCAACCCUAUUAUUAGUUGCUAACAUUAAGUUGAGCACUCUAGUGAGACUG